CCCUGCUCAUGCUCUCUCAAAAAUAAACAUUAAAAAAAAAAAAAAGAAAAGAAAAUAGACUAGCCGAGACAAAAACUACUGAGUGGCUAUAGAUGCA